rnacentral:rRNA from 1 species
AUUGAACGCUGGCGGCAGGCCUAACACAUACAAGUCGAGCGAGCGGCGGACGGGUGAGUAAUGUAUGGGGACUGCCCGAUAGCUGGGGAUACAUACUGGAAACGGUAGCUACUCCCGCAUACUAUCGGAUAACCCAUAUGGGAUUAGAUAGUAUGUGAGGUAAGGGCUCACCUAGGCGACGAUCCCUAGCUGGUCUGAGAGGAUUAUCAACCAGCUUGGUACUGAUACAAGGCCCAGACUCCUACGGAGGCAGCAGGGGGGAAUAUUGCACAAUGGGCGCAAGCCUGAUGCCGCCAGGCCGCGUGUAUGAAGAAGGCCCUAGGGGUUUAAAGUACUUUCAGGCGGGAGGCGUUACCGACAGAGUAAGCACCGGCUAACUCCGUGCCAGCAGCCGCGGUAAUAC